UACGGGGGGAGCAAGCGUUGUUCGGAUUUACUGGGCGUAAAGGGCGCGUAGGCGGUCAGCACAAGUCAGUUGUGAAAUCUCCGGGCUUAACUCGGAAAGGUCAACUGAUACUGUGCGACUAGAGUGCGGAAGGGGCAACUGGAAUUCUCGGUGUAGCGGUGAAAUGCGUAGAUAUCGAGAGGAACACCUGAGGUGAUGACGGGUUGCUGGGCUGACACUGACGCUGAGGCGCGAAAGCCAGGGGAGCAAACGGG
rnacentral:rRNA from 1 species